rnacentral:rRNA from 1 species
AUUGAACGCUGGCGGCAGGCUUAACACAUGCAAGUCGAACGAGUGGCGGACGGGUGAGUAAUGUAUGGGGAUCUGGCUGAUGGAGGGGGAUAACUACGGGAAACGGUAGCUAAUACCGCAUACCAUAGGAUGAACACAAGUGGGAUUAGCUAGUUGGUGGGGUAAAGGCUCACCAAGCCGACGAUCUCUAGCUGGUCUGAGAGGAUGACCAGCCACACUGGGACUGAGACAUGGCCCAGACUCCUACGGGAGGCAGCAGUGGGGAAUAUUGCGCAAUGGGCGCAAGCCUGAUGCAGCCAUGCCGCGUGAAUGAAGAAGGCCUUAGGGUUGUAAAGUACUUUCGGUAGCGAGGCGUUAACCACAGAAGAAGCACCGGCUAACUCCGUGCCAGCAGCCGCGGUAAUAC